AGUCCAUAGAUAUAAAUAGAGUAUAAAUAAUGAUUAAAAAUAUGGAGACCAAUGAUUAACUUAAUGCUGAUAUCCACUAUUCUCUCAAAGCAAAACCCAAAAAAUGAAAACAAAUCAAAUAUAUUAGUGAAAAAUCAAAAAAUAGGAAAAAUAAAUCGAAUAUUAACCAAGCUUCAAAUGAAACCUAAAGUGAAGAAAAUGACCCAAAAAAAUUAUAGAAAAAUUGGAAAGAACUGAUACUU
rnacentral:lncRNA from 1 species